CAGAGUUUGUAGCAAUGAUUGACAGGGAGCUAGGCUGGAGAUACCUAGUGGCAGAAUAAAGAGGUGUGAAUCUACAUUUUACUGUUAUUUUUCAUACAUCACAAAUACAUAUUUGUUAAAUAUUGGAUUAAAUAAACACGAUAUUGAAAAUCCUGGGAAGAACUGUUUACGGAUCAACCUUGUCUUUUCCUACACUGUUUUUUGCUGCCCUGACAAAAC